UAAACACGCGAUAUUAACAAAACCCGGGAGUUGUUUUUAUUUAAAAACGCAAUACAAUAUUACAGAUAUAGAAAUUCCAAGACAAGAAUUAUUGCUUCUGUUUAUACUUCACUUUACAAACCCCUAUUUUUCUAUCUAUCUACCAGUACUAAAAAAAAAAAAAGAAUAGUGUAUGUGUGUGAAGAAAAUCUGCAGCUAUCCCUUAAGCAUGCUCAAGCAUGCUCAGCCACCUAUUGACAUUUUUUUUUUGACUCCAGCUCCAGCAGCAUAUCUGCAAAAUUUUCACACCCGAACACCUUCAUUGGUUUCAGUUUGCAGCAAGCUAAAUCUCAAGCAUUCAACAGACAAAUCUAAUUUGUCAGCAGCAAAUCUAAUCUCAUUAAUUCUUCAACCAAAAUCUCAAGUAUUCAACAGACAAAUCUAAUUUGUCAGCAGCAAAUAUAAUCUUAUUGAAUUCUUCAACCACGCCUAAACUUAGCCGCACUAUUCACCAUAUUUUUCACACUAGCAGCUUCAGUAUUUACUCCCUAUAAAAGGCAUCCUCACUUACCUAAAAUCCUUAGCAGCUGCAAAGAAUUUUAGACGAAACAAGAUCACCAUAUAUAACUCAGCAACAACAACCAACAAACAAAACUUUCAAGGUAUUCACUAUCUCAUUUGCACGCUUCGGUUUAAUUAGGAAUACAGAAUGGUAGAGAACCUACAUAUGCAUAAAUGGACAUAGCAAAUAUAGCAAACCAUUCGUUUCUGUGAUACAUAAUGAGCUAUGAUAUGUUGUAAAAAUAAGAAUACAGAAAACCAAGUUUUCAUUCCAAAAUCAAGUCUUUAUACAAAGUUGAAUUUUCUGUAAAUUAUUCAAAUUUACGAACCUAUCGUGAGUGAUAAAACGAGAGAGAAAGGAUGGUGGAUUGUCGGAGCUCUGCGACUCACGGCGACGGCGACUCCAGGAGAGGCGGCUGCCGGAUUCUUGCUGCCAACGGCAGCGGCUGACGGCGGCGCUCCUCCAGCGAGCUGCUGGCCGUCGAUCGCGGGCCAGCCAGCGGCGACUCCGGGCAAGCCAACGGCGGCGGGAACUCCGAGCAAGACGAACGACCGAAGGCCAGAUCCGUCGACCCCAGGCGAACAGCAGCAGCUCCAGGCGGCCGUGGCGUUG
rnacentral:lncRNA from 1 species